rnacentral:rRNA from 1 species
UACGUAGGGGGCUAGCGUUGUCCGGAAUCAUUGGGCGUAAAGAGCGUGUAGGCGGCCCGGCAAGUCCGCUGUAAAAGUCAAAGGCUCAACCUUUGAAUGUCAGUGGAUACUGCCGGGCUAGAGUCCGGAAGAGGCGAGUGGAACUCCUGGUGUAGCGGUGGAAUGCGCAGAUAUCAGGAAGAACACCAACGGCGAAGGCAGCUCGCUGGGACGGUACUGACGCUGAGACGCGAAAGCGUGGGGAGCGAACAGG